rnacentral:misc_RNA from 1 species
GUGAAUCAUCAAAUUUUUGAACGCAAAUUGCACUCUCCUCGGAGAGUAUGCCUGUUUGAGGGUCAGCCUAUAAAAAUCGGCAACGGUGGUUGUUCGCGGGUGGGGUCGGCGGGAAUUUGGGCAUCUUUAAUCCUUUUGGUUUAAACGGCUUAAAAUUUUCUUUUUUUGCCAUAUGCGUGUCUAAGAGCUAUUUCUUUACACGUUUAAGAUGUC